CCGUAAACGUCUGCGCCCGCCAGUGAUCUAGGCAGACGUAAGGCUCCUCGAGUUCUCUCCUCCACCAUGCGCCGGCAGGUCUCCUAAAUUCGAUCACAUCCGCGGCAUCUGCCCGGCGAGGGCACGGUGUCGAGGUGGGCGUUGCACACGGCCUCCGUUCCGCCCGGCAACCACAGAUCUUUCGCGGUGGGAACGACCUCGACGACGGAGAACACGGCGGCUGAUGCGUACGCAGCGCGAGCAACGCGUCGGCGAGCGCUCCGGACUCCUCGGCGGCGAGCAAAAACCUGCAGUAGGCGGCGGCCAUGCGCUCAGCGGCGGCGGUGAGACUGAGACCGUGAGACUUCUUGGCACGGCACUGGAAGCCUGAGGUUGAGGAGGGUGUCCUGGAAGGCUUGUUGCGCCUCGCAGUCGUGGUUACUGAGAGUCCAUGGUUUGGUCAGUGGUCUUUCGAUGGCAAAAAUUUCUGGAAUUUGAAAUCGAUUUAAACCUUUACUGGUUUAUGACCUGCUCAGUUUUUACUUUGGCAAUAUCCUGACCUGUUCUUCUGAACUUGUAUUGGGAGCAUAUUAAUAGCUGUAAUAUGUUUUAAGACUUCCUAUCUUUUGUAACGAUCACAUGAUGGGAAACCAAAUUCAGUGAGUUGAGUCCUGACACUAUAGACCGUGCAUAUACGUUAGUUUUUUUACUGUAAAACAAUGAGCUUUUGUGUUUUUAAUUUGAAUAUUGUACACUUUACAGUAGUAUAAACACUCACAGUGCAGGCUUAUCAUAUUGGUAAGGAGAUUAUACAUAACAAAUUAUGGAUAUCAUGAUGCAAUGUCUUGCUUUUAUAUGGGUGUCAGUUUGUCGGAGCAGAAUUUGGUGUAGCACAUCAGUGCAACAACAAGUGCCGGAGGAACUGCCAUAAGGAUUUGCCUUUGGAAACAAUCUCAUGUCUGUCCAAUAUCUGACAUAAAGAAACUAUGACAGAGUUUGCAUUUUAUGUUCUGCACCAUCAGUCCAUCAGAGGACCCGAGAGACAUAAUGGGAGAUCAUUAAUCAUUUCACUCUCUCAACCAGUCUAAUACGUUUUCUCAACGUAAUGUAUGAUCUUCAUUGCAACCAGGAGAGCAGUGGAUAUUGUGGACUUUAGUUGUGAUGAGCUGGUGGGCCCAAGGUCAUAUUUGUAUCUAAAGAUGAUCAGGUCAGUCAAUUACUGCAUUUUCAUGCCUGUGCAUCUUGAAUUCACAUAAACACACUUCCAUCAAUUUGAAGUGCAUUCAAUGGAGGAAGCUGAAGUUCUAUGUGACCACAUUGGGAUUGUGGCGAAUGGUACAGCUUGCAGUGCAUUGGAAACUCUAAAGAGGUACACUAACAUAAGCUAAUAAGCCAUCAGUUCUAUGGUAAGAGCUCAGUCCAUCUUGCCUGUGGUAGCACACACAUCUGAUGGCCUCCAUGUCAGCUUUAAUCACUUUCAAGCAUCAAUGAACAAACCGAAGAAACUUCAUUAGAGUUGACCUCUCACAUGCACAAUGGAAAAUCUUUCUUUGAAACACACCUACAAGAAUAUUUUUCUUGAGGGGAAGCUUUUUCACAGUGCUGUGUUCAUUUGUUCUCAUCAGCAAGGUAGGCAAGAACAUGUAAGGAUCCCUGAUGAGGUUAUUAGUAUGUGAAGAUGUUGAAUCAAGAUGCAGGGGCAGAGAUGCUGGAGACUUCACUCUUGGUUCCAGGGGAAGCUUUGUCACAGUGCUGUGUUCAUUUGUUCUCAUCAGCAAGGUAGGCAAGAACAUGUAAGGAUCCCUGAUGAGGUUAUUGGUAUGUGAAGAUGUUGAAUCAAGAUGCAGGGGCAGAGAUGCUGGAGACUUCACUCUUGUUUUUUUAUCAUGAUCAGAAUUAAACUUUUCUAAUAGCCACUUUGGAAAUCUUGGUGAAUCAGUUGCUGAGUACAGUGGUGCUGAAAGUGGGUAUAUGCGCAAGAUGAUCUGACCUCAGCAGUACUUGGAUGUUUGAUAAAAUGUCAGAAGUAGACCUGACAACUUUACCAUCAGAGUAGCUAACAUCAAUAGCCGAGGAGUCUUUCCUGAUAGUCUGCACGAUACCUCUAGACCGACCUGAUUUGAAUAAUUUCCGUACUCUGUCAGCCAUGGUGAAUUGUCAUCUCUAGAGUCCAGCUGUUGUAAUGUGUAGUCGAAGGUAGAAUCACAAACUGUUUGGAAAGGGCCUUGCAUCCGAGCAGCCUCACAAAAGUUCACAGAAAUUAUGGCUA